GAGACUCUGUGCGCGUGCAUAUCAAUAAGCGGAGGAAAAGAAACUAACAAGGAUUCCCCUUAGUAACGGCGAGUGAAGCGGGAAGAGCUCAAAUUUGAAAUCUUAAAGGGUUUCCCUUUACGAAUUGUAGUUUAAAGAAGUGUUUUCUGUUGGAGUUUCGGUAAAAGUUCUUUGGAAUAGGACAUCAUAGAGGGUGAGAAUCCCGUAUUUGACCGUUACUUUCCAGCUGUGUGAUACACUUUCAAAGAGUCGGAUUGUUUGGGAAUGCAGUCCAAGAUGGGUGGUAAAUUUCAUCUAAAGCUAAAUAUUGGCGAGAGACCGAUAGCGAACAAGUACCGUGAGGGAAAGAUGAAAAGAACUUUGAAAAGAGAGUUAAACAGUACGUGAAAUUGUCAAAAGGGAAGCGUUUGACACCAGUGUUGUUUAGUUGAAAAUCAAUUCAAUAAUUUUUGAUUCUAAGUAGUAUUGACUUCAUCAGCUUGCUGCUUUCUUCUCAGGAAUUAUUGAAUGCACUUUUCAGUUAACAAGUCAACAUCAAUUUCUUUUGUUGUAAAAGGGUAAGAGGAAGGUGGCUUACGCUUCGGCGUCAAGUGUUUAUAGCCUUUUAUCUCUGCAAUCGGAGAGAUUGAGGUACAUGCAGCGUAGACUCCUUCGGGGUUAGAUACACUUGUGCUAAGCUAUAGCCUUGUAUAGACAACUUGUUGACUAUGCUCAGUCAUGUAGCUUACUCGCUGAUGCUAUUUUACCUACGCUUAGGAUGUUGACAGCAGUAUAGACUGU
rnacentral:rRNA from 1 species